UCGAUCGAGGAAAGCGCAAUCGAUCAAAGUCGAGAGGUGAAGGUUUUAGGGCUGCGAAAGCUUAGUGAUGUGAUCGACAUCAUCGUGAGGCAAUCGGCUUCGGAUUGGCUCCGCCACCUGCGUGAACAUCACGGCAGCUUUGAAUAUCUGUAAGUGUAUGUUUUGGCUAUGAAUUAUGUUGGAUAUGAGCAUAGCAAUUUGCACUCGAAGUCUUGAACACUAUCAAAUUUUCCCCUUUCUUCCUGUUCGUAUCAAAUUGAGAACUGUAAGGUUGAAUUUAUUAUAGUACUUUUAGAUUACGAUUAAUCACCUCUUCAUUCUCUUUCACUCGGUUCUUUUUUGAUUCAUUCAUAUAAAUUCUCAGUUUGUUAUUUAGGCACACCAAUCCUCAUGAGAGCCAAAUACGCAACAACCCGAUAUAACACCAGCAUCAGUGCCAAAGCCACAACCGAUAGCACUUGCCCAUCAAGCCCAACGCUCUUAAUAGCCGGAAAAUCCUCAACCAAACACGUCAAGUUACCACAUUUGUAAGUCUGCCCAUGCUCAUAUUGUGAAGCUAUCAACAACUUGUAAGUAUGUUGACUGAUGGAUAUGUAUUUGAUCCAAGAUAUGAAAUCAGGCACAUGUUGAACAUAGUAUCCACCUGCUAGUGUGAAUGAUAACAUGAUCACAGAUCCCAUAAUGGUGGCUGAUUUUUGGUUCAUAACUAGUGCUCCUACGGCUAACCCUAGCCCUUGUGAUGCCAACACGCUAAAAAGAAGUGUGAAUAGCGCAUACAAAAAACUUCCAAAAUCUGAUUUGAGCCCAGCCAUCCAGUAGGUUAUGAUGCAAAACAAUGUUGGUAGAACUAACUCCAUAGGAAGAUCUCCUAUUGUUCUUGAUAUAAAAUAAGAUGAAAGUCUAUACAUUCCUGAAGAUCGUUCUUUUCCUAGCAUUUGCCUUUCUUGAGGGAAUGUGAAAAUUGCUUGAAAUAAAGGAAAGAACCCCCAGAAUCCAGUGUAAAAGAAGAGCAAUCCUGACUGCAUAGUUUUCGAUUAAGAAACAUGUUAGAUUAUUAUUAUUAUUAUUAUUAUUAUUAUUAUUAUUAUUAUUUAUAAGUUAAAAGUGAUGACAAACAAGAGUAUAUAUUUAUAUUUUAUACCUGAUCUUGUAAGUGAGCCUUAUCAGAUUGCCACCAUAGCAAACCACAAAGGAAUGACACAGCUAUAACCUGACCGAUCUUGAGAGUGGAAAAGAAUUCAUGUUUCCUUUCUUUAACACCUCUUUUGAGUAAAACCAUGACUUGUUGCAACCAAGUCGUGCUCCAUCGUUCAUGCUUCUUGUUGUCUAAAACAUCGUUCUCAUCAUCAUUGAAUUCUACUACUUCAGCUUUUAAUUUCUCAUCAAGAUUCGACUUAUAAGCCAAAACCAACUUCUGCUUCACCGCAUUUUGAUCCCCAUAACUUGAAUUAUCCGGCGAUAUCCCUAAAAUAUUAACAACAUUUGUAGUAACUAUGCAAAUUCUUUAAAAAAAAAAAAAAAAAAAAAAAAAAAAAGGAAAUGUGUAUGUUCAACACCAAUGGUCAAGAGACAGUUACGUUCAGAACAUGAACUUGCCAGGUUCUGAACCUGAACUAAAAUGUCAUGACUAAAAUGUCAUGUCAGGUUCAGAACCUGGCAACCUGCCAGUAGAACUUGAACAAUAUUUUCAAUUUUUAUACCAUUUGCAAGAUCUAGCAAAAAGUCGGAAGGAUUCAUGGUGACCGAUGGCGAAAAUCCAAUAGUGUUAAAAUAAUCCAUAACUUCCGAUCCUUUACCAAAAAACAACGAAUUCCCUUCCGAUAACAACACCACCUUAUGAAACAUGUAAAAAAGCCUACUUGAAGGUUGAUGAAUCGUCAUAACAAUUGUUCUUCCACCUCUUGCUAAUUCCCAUAAAGUCAAAGCAAUCCUUUGAGCAGUUGUUGAAUCAAGCCCAGAUGUCGGCUCAUCCAAGAACAACAAACUAGGGUUUAUAAGCAUUUCUUGCCCGAUACUAACUCUUUUUCUCUCUCCACCCGACACCCCUCUUAAAUUCGGCCCACCGAUGAUAAUAUUCUUGCAUCUUGUUAACCUAAGUUGGUCGAUCACCGCUUCCGCAUGCGUGAUCUUUUCUUGAGUUGUGAGCUUUUUAGGCAAGCGGAGUAAGGCGGUGAAAACAAGGGUUUCGGUGACUGUUAAAUGAGGAUAUAGAAUGUCAUCUUGAGUGACAAAACCGGUGUACCGCUUCAUGAUACUUGAAAACGGUUUGCCAUUGUAGGUGAUGGUCCCGUCUAGCUUGCCACCUAGGCGGCCACCUAAUGCGGUUAAAAGGGUAGUUUUUCCACAUCCGGAUGGCCCUAACAUGGCUAACAUUUCUCCGGGCAACACCAUGCCGGUUAUUCCUUUGAGUAUCUGUUUCUCUGUAGGCUCGUGGUUUUUCUUUCUUUUUAUCCAUCCUUGUUUCUUGUUUUUGAUGGUGUAAACCACUUCUUGAAACUGUUCAAUUAAAUAAUCGGAAUAAUAAGUUUAUAACAUAUAAACACUUUUUUUUUCGAAAAAGGAUGAAAAAUGAACCUUUAGUGUAACCGGAUGAUCGACUUUGUUGAAGAUUGAUGGAGGGGAUGAGGUUUGAGCUGAUGAUUGAGCCUCUAUAUCUACCAUUUGGGUUGCCAUUUGAAUAUUUUUUUUCCUAAUUCUGAUUUACAAAUAAAAAAAUGGUAUAUGUUGUUAUUUACAUACAUACAUACAUGUGAUUCGUUAAUUGUAUGUUGGUGUAUUAUAUAGUAAGAGAACCGAAUUAAGGUGAAAUAAAAGUCAUGCAAUAGAGGUGUGCGGGUUUAUGGCACAUACCCUUGAUUUGGUGUAAGAGAAUAGAGAUGGAGAAGGAAGUCAUGCAAUAGACAUGUGCGUUUAUGAUGUGUUCCCAUGUAUUUGGGAUGAUUUGGUGU
rnacentral:lncRNA from 1 species